ACUAAUUCCUAAAAAGCCUCAAAAAAAUUUCCUAAUAAUAGUAUUUAGUGUUAAUUAUAGAAACUCAAGGGGAGGAAGCUAAUAUUGUGGCUAAAAAAUUCUACGACAAAGGAAUUUAAUUAAUAGUGAAAUUAUUAAAGGAGACGAUAUCAUCGAAGAACCCUUCUAGUUGAUAGCUGGAUUCGUUACCUUGAAGCGACAUCGUCUUCGAUGACAGAUCGAAUCCGGUCGGGAACAAUUGGGUUAGCAAUGUUGAUAAGGGUGCCAAGGAUGUCCUUUUGAGCUGAGCCUGUGGGAGUUUAUAGUUUGUAUUAGGAAUUUGUUAAAUGUGUAGUAGUUCUGAUUAUGUUAGUUAUAUUGGACUCGAAGUGAAUUGUAUGAUUACUUUAUGUUUAGGUUAGAUGUUUGGUUUGAGAUUUAGCUGAGUUAGUUACAUUAAAGAGCUGGUGAUUCCUUUGCUUAGGUUUUGGAGAUGCGAUUUAAGUUUCUUGUAAAAUGAACCCCGUGACGACCCUGUUUACCUAGUCAACGGUAAGCUGGGUUGUUACAGUUGGUAUCAGAGCAAGGUUCGUGAAUUAAGGACCUUUGGAUGGGUAAUAAGGAUAUAGGACAAGUGUGAGUUAGAGAAAGACACUAGGUGUGAAGUUAGAGAUUGGGUAGACGCUAGUUAGUGGAGUAUCUUUG